ncrna:Laribacter hongkongensis HLHK9 int-alpA RNA
GCCGCGCCUACUCCGACGGGAGGAAAACCGGGGAACCCUGCCCGGCUGGCGCGGUGAUCCGUUUCAGGGG